GGGCCAGGCACUUACGGGGAGAGGGAGGGUAGUUUAUAAACAAUGAAUGAACAAGCAAAUAGGUCCUGAGGUCGGAGACUAAUUGCCUCCUCUUUCUCUUCGGUGGGGUGGGUUGUGGGGGGCAAAUCUCUCAGCGUGUUUCCAGCUGGCCCUGCCCCUCCACUUUUCAGAGGAGGCAAGAUGCAAAUGAUCCCCCAGCCACAGCUGCUCUCCAUUCUCUGAAACAAAGGAGCUCAUCGAAGGCUGAGGGGACAGCUCUGCAAAAGCCCUCAGCCCUUCACCCCGCUGAGAUCCAUCAGCACCCAGGCCCGGCGUGGAAACCCCUCCCCUCGACGGGGGUACUAGCCAUGGGGCUGGAUCUUGCUUAAAUUGGAGCCCCGAGGCUAACACACACACACACCCCGCUCUCAGCGUGGUGGGUGUGGGACCCAGGAGCUGGCAGCAGGGCGACGAUGUUGAUGAUGGGAACGAUAACGAUGCUGACGGUGGUGAUAGUACUAAUGUUUAUUAUGUACGUCCUGUAAUUUGGGGUUGAGAUGUGGAGAAGAUUCCCUGAGUUCCCGUCACUCUGGAGCCUGAACCCAAGCUCUGACCCAGAUGGCCCAAGUAUCUGGAAGAGGAGAAGACAGGUGACGAUGUGGCACCUUCAUGGCCUGCGAGGUGCUGCUUGCCAGCAGAAUGGGGAAAACACAGACUUCUGGGCCUGGCAGACCUUGGUUCAGGUGCUGCCUCGGGCACUUGCCACCUGGGCGGCUGUGGGCAAUUUCUUCAGCUUCUCUGAUCCUCACUCUCCUCAUCUGAGCAAGGGGCCUAUUGUGUCUCUUGCAGGGUUUUCUGCAGAAUGAUGAUAACAGGUGCUUGGAGCCAGGCAGCUGCUCAAUAACUGCUCAUCAUCACCGUCCAAAGCCAAUGACCCUGAGUGGGCUGUACAACCCCCACCCUCUGUUGCCGCUUCCUGCUCUUCUUUGCCACAAGCAGCUCCUCUGAUCUGGGUGGAUCUCAGCCCCACUUCCUUCUGAGGUUGGGAGUCCAGAGUCCUGGAUCCAGAACGCAGCCUGGCCCCAGCAGACACCCAAGCCGGCCCAGGGGCCCUCUCGGCCCAGGAGGCUGGGGCCGGGUGGCAGCCUGAUCGCCUAUCUGUUGGUCCUCUGUCUUGGCCUGUCCUCGAGGCUGCUGGCCCUGGAGCCUCCCCGCCGCUCAUUGCCCAGUCCCUCCCUGCCCUGUAAGCUGUGUCUGUCCCCAUCUCCUAGCGUGCUGCACCCAGAGAGCUCCCGCAUCACCCCCAGCUCAGCACCCCUCGUUGGGGCAAAAACUCAAAUCUCAUUAAAGGUCGUUGA
ensembl:lncRNA